UGCAUCAAGCUUACCAUGCAGUCGAGGGGAACGGCAUUAUGUGCUUGCACAUUUUGGACGUCGACCGGCGCACGGGUGAGUAUCGCGUAUCCAACCUGCCCUUUACUUGGGGAUACCCCGUUGAAAGACGGCCUAAUACCCGAUGUAAUUCAUUGAUGGCAUCAGAUAUGAAUAAAAGAUUUAUCGGUAAAGGAUGGGGAUGCGUCUGAUUAGCUUGUUGGUGAGGUAACGGCUCACCAAGGCGACGAUCAGUAGGGGUUCUGAGAGGAAGGUCCCCCACAUUGGAACUGAGACACGGUCCAAACUCCUACGGGAGGCAGCAGUGAGGAAUAUUGGUCAAUGGGCGCAAGCCUGAACCAGCCAAGUAGCGUGCAGGAAGACGGCCCUAUGGGUUGUAAACUGCUUUUAUACGAGAAUAAUUUGAUGCACGUGUGCGUUAUUGCAUGUAUCGUAUGAAUAAGGACCGGCUAAUUCCGUGCCAGCAGCCGCGGUAAUACGGAAGGUCCAGGCGUUAUCCGGAUUUAUUGGGUUUAAAGGGAGUGUAGGCGGUUUGUUAAGCGUGUUGUGAAAUUUAGGUGCUCAACAUUUAACUUGCAGCGCGAACUGUCAGACUUGAGUACACGCAACGUAUGCGGAAUUCAUGGUGUAGCGGUGAAAUGCUUAGAUAUCAUGAAGAACUCCGAUUGCGAAGCAGCAUACGGGAGUGUAACUGACGCUUAAGCUCGAAGGUGCGGGUAUCGAACAGGAUUAGAUACCCUGGUAGUCCGCACAGUAAACGAUGGAUGCCCGCUGUUAGCGCCUGGCGUUAGCGGCUAAGCGAAAGCAUUAAGCAUCCCACCUGGGGAGUACGCCGGCAACGGUGAAACUCAAAGGAAUUGACCGGA
rnacentral:rRNA from 1 species